GACGAACGCUGGCGGCGUGCUUAACACAUGCAAGUCGAACGGAAAGGCCCUGCUUUUGUGGGGUGCUCGAGUGGCGAACGGGUGAGUAACACGUGAGUAACCUGCCCUUGACUUUGGUAUAACUUCAGGAAACUGGGGCUAAUACCGUAUAGGAGCUCCUGCUGCAUGGUGGGGGUUGGAAAGUUUCGGCGGUUGGGGAUGGACUCGCGGCUUAUCAGCUUGUUGGUGGGGUAGUGGCUUACCAAGGCUUUGACGGGUAGCCGGCCUGAGAGGGUGACCGGCCACAUUGGGACUGAGAGACGGCCCAGACGCCUACGGGAGGCAGCAGUGGGGAAUAUUGCACAAUGGGAGGAAGCCUGAUGCAGCAACGCCGCGUGCGGGAUGACGGCCUUCGGGUUGUAAACCGCUUUCGCCUGUGACGAAGCGUGAGUGACGGUAAUGGGUAAAGAAGCACCGGCUAACUACGUG
rnacentral:rRNA from 1 species